CCUACGGUGUGCUGCAGUGGGGAAUAUUGGACAAUGGGGGCAACCCUGAUCCAGCCAUGCCGCGUGUGUGAAGAAGGCCCUCGGGUUGUAAAGCACUUUCAGUGAGGAAGAACGCCUGGUGGUUAAUACCCAUCAGGAAAGACAUCACUCACAGAAGAAGCACCGGCUAACUCCGUGCCAGCAGCCGCGGUAAUACGGAGGGUGCGAGCGUUAAUCGGAAUUACUGGGCGUAAAGCGCGCGUAGGUGGCUUGAUAAGCCGGUUGUGAAAGCCCCGGGCUCAACCUGGGAACGGCAUCCGGAACUGUCAAGCUAGAGUGCAGGAGAGGAAGGUAGAAUUCCCGGUGUAGCGGUGAAAUGCGUAGAGAUCGGGAGGAAUACCAGUGGCGAAGGCGGCCUUCUGGACUGACACUGACACUGAGGUGCGAAAGCGUGGGUAGCAAACAGGAUUAGAUACCCUAGUAGUC
rnacentral:rRNA from 1 species